rnacentral:rRNA from 1 species
ACGCUGGCGGAAUGCUUUACACAUGCAAGUCGAACGGCAGCAUAGAGAGCUUGCUCUCUGAUGGCGAGUGGCGAACGGGUGAGUAAUAUAUCGGAACGUACCUAGUAAUGGGGAACAACUAGCCGAAAGGUUAGCUAAUACCGCAUACGACCUACGGGUGAAAGCAGGGGAUCUUCGGACCUUGCGUUAUUAGAGCGGCCGAUAUCUGAUUAGGUAGUUGGUGGGGUAAAUGCCUACCAAGCCUACGAUCAGUAGCUGGUCUGAGAGGACGAUCAGCCACACUGGAACUGAGACACGGUCCAGACUCCUACGGGAGGCAGCAGUGGGGAAUUUUGGACAAUGGGGGCAACCCUGAUCCAGCCAUUCCGCGUGAGUGAAGAAGGCCUUCGGGUUGUAAAGCUCUUUCACAAGAGAAGAAAUCUUGCUAUCAAAUAAAUAGUAAG